AACGGCCAUACCAUGCUGAAUAUACCGGUUCUCGUUAGAUCACCGAAGUCAAGCAUCAUUGGGCGCGGUCAGUACUUGGGUGGGUGACCACCUGGGUACACCGCGUGCCGUU
rnacentral:rRNA from 1 species